rnacentral:SRP_RNA from 1 species
GCUGGGUGUGGUGGUGCACACCUGUAAUCCCAGCUACUUGGGAGGCUGAGGCAGGAGAAUUGCUUGAACCCAGGAGGCAGAAGUUGCAGUGAGCCGAGAUUGCACCAUUGCACUCCAGCCUGGGAGACAAAGCAAGACUCUGUCUCAA